GUAAUUAACCUAUACACACACUAUGAAAAACUUAAUGUCUUGAACGUUUAUAAAAAUUGAAACGAAGAAAACUUUCCGUAAAACAAACAGGUAGGUGUCGGAAAGAAUAAAUAAACACAUGUAUGUUUGAGUAUUGGUUUUAAGAAGGGGUCAUACACGUAUAUGGUAGAGGAGAGGCAUGGUCAUGACAAAUGACAAUAGAGAAGGAACAUGCAGAGCAGGCCAUGGUGAUGUAAUUUGAAGAUGCCAAAUUGGUCAUAUUCAACAUAUUUAUACAACGAGGAGGAAAUUUUGUGGAUCUGUGAGGUUGGACAGAGCAGCAGAGCUGACAUCUGCGGUGAUAUUUUGAAUAGUGGUCAUGAAUAAUCGACGUAACGAAAGAUAUUGACUAAUCAUAUCUAUACUGACCAUGUAGACAAGGAAUUCUCGAUCUCAUAUUGAUUGGGAAGUUCUGUUGUCUUU
rnacentral:lncRNA from 1 species